rnacentral:sRNA from 1 species
CGGAAGUUGACCGGGCUGCGGAGCUUCUGGGCUGCAGCUCCUGGAGUUUUCGAGGUUCGUGCGUGUCUGGUGGCGGCGGCGUGAUGUUCUCGGCAGGAGCGGAGAGUUUGCUCCACCAGGCCAGGGUGACAGAAACGAGGAGGUCAGAGCCGUGGGCCAGGGCGUGCUGCGAGCGCUGGAGAGCCGGCAGCCUGAGGGACCCAGCCUCAGACACCUCCUCCCCGUCAUGGCCAAGGUCGUGGUCCUCAGCCCGGGCACCCUCCAGGAGGACCAGGCCACCCUGCUCAGCAAGCGGCUGGUCGACUGGCUGCGCUACGCCAGCCUCCAGCAAGGGCUCCCGCACUCCGGCAGCUUCUUCUCCACGCCCAGGGCCCGGCAGCCGGGCCCCAUCACCGAGGUGGACGGGGCAGUAGCCACAGACUUCUUCACGGUGCUCUCCACCGGCCACCGCUUCACAGAAGACCAGUGGCUGAACGUGCAGGCCUUCUCCAUGCUGCGGGCGUGGCUGCUGCACAGCGGCCCCGAGGGCCCAGGCACCCUGGACACAGAUGACAGGUCAGAGCAGGAGGGCUCCACUCUGUCGGUGAUCUCCGCCACCUCCUCUGCCGGCCGCCUGCUGCCGCCCCGGGAGCGGCUUCGGGAGGUGGCCUUCGAGUACUGCCAGCGCCUCAUUGAGCAAAGUAACCGACGAGCCCUGAGGAAGGGGGACUCCGACCUGCAGAAAGCUGUAAGUGGCUGGGGACCAGGGGAUGGGAGGCAGCGACUCGGCCCAUUUGAUGUGGUCCACGUCCCGCAGUGCCUGGUGGAGGCUGUGCUGGUGCUGGACGUGCUGUGCCGGCAGGACCCGUCCUUCCUGUACCGAAGUCUCUCCUGCCUGAAGGCCCUGCACGGGCGGGUGCGCGGGGACCCGGCCUCUGUGCGGGUGCUGCUGCCCCUCGCCCACUUCUUCCUGAGCCACGGGGAGGCAGCUGCAGUGGACUCGGAAGCCGUCUACCAGCACCUGUUCACCAGGAUCCCGGUGGAGCAGUUCCACAGCCCCAUGCUGGCCUUUGAAUUCAUCCAGUUCUGCAGGGACAACCUCCACCUGUUCAGCGGGCACCUCAGCACCCUCAGAUUGAGCUUCCCCAACCUCUUUAAGUUCCUGGCCUGGAACAGCCCACCCCUCACCUCCGAGUUUGUGGCACUCCUCCCGGCCCUGGUGGACGCUGGCACAGCCCUGGAGAUGCUGCACGCGCUGCUGGACCUGCCCUGCUUGACGGCGGUGCUGGACCUGCAGCUCAGGUCAGCACCGGCUGCAUCCGAGAGGCCACUCUGGGACACCUCUCUCAGGGCCCCCAGCUGCCUGGAGGCCUUCCGGGACCCGCAGUUCCAGGGUCUUUUCCAAUACCUGCUGCGCCCCAAGGCCAGUGGCACCACUGAGAGGUUGGCGCCACUCCACCAGCUGCUACAGCCCAUGGCCGGCUGUGCCCGCGUGGCCCAGUGUGCCCAGGCCGUGCCCACGCUGCUGCAGGCAUUCUUCUCAGCAGUGACCCAGGUGGCUGACGGGUCCCUGAUCAACCAGCUGGCGCUGCUGCUCCUGGGCAGGAGCGACUCGCUCUACCCGGCCCCAGGGUACGCUGCCGGUGUGCACAGGUAGGUCCCUCCUGCCACAGCCCUGGGCGGGUGCCUCCUGGACCCCUCCCCCUCUCCCCUCCCCUUCAGUGGCUUCGGCACCACCCCUUGCUGGGCCCUCAGCAGCCUCAGACCCUGCCACCCCCACCCACAGCCCCACACCCAGCCCCAGGCACUUCCUCUCUGCCUCUCAAGAACAUUCCCCUGUCCUUCCUUCUGCCGAGCGUGUCCUCUUCAGGGUUAGCUCAGGUCCCUCUUCCACGUCCUGUCCCCUGGGGUCCUUCUCUCCAAAGGCCUGAUGCAUGCAGGCCCAUCCUGGUUCCACUCUGAGCCCGGGCCUUAGGCCAGCGCUGGUGCCAGCCUUCUCCCCAGUGAGGAGGACAGUUUCUCUAGGGCUGGCAGUCGUCUGUGUCCCUCUAUCGGAGGGUGCAGCAUACACCUACCACUCAGACGCUUCCCGGGUCCCUCCAGGCCCUUGGCCUGAAUGGGGUGGCCAGGAUGGGGAUGGGGUCAGAGGUCUGCACAGAGCAGGCGUGGACCCGGCUUUCUGCGCAGUGUGCUGAGUUCUCAGUUCCUGGCCCUGUGUACGCUGAAACCCUCCCUGGUGGUGGAGCUGGCAAGAGACCUGCUGGAGUUCCUGGGCAGCGUGAAUGGUCUCUGCAGCAGGGCGAGCCUCGUCACCAGCGUGGUGUGGGCCAUCGGCGAGUACCUGUCGGUGACCUACGAUCGGAGGUGCACCGUGGAGCAGAUCAACAAGUUCUUCGAAGCCCUGGAGGCCCUGCUAUUCGAGGUCACCCAGUGCCGCCCCUCUGCUGCCCUGCCCAGGUGUCCCCCCCAGGUGGUCACCGUGCUGAUGACCACGCUGACGAAGCUGGCCUCCCGGAGCCAAGAUCUGAUCCCCAGGGCCUCUUUAUUGCUGUCAAAGAUGAGGACCCUGGCUCACAGUCCAGCCACCAGCUCCACGCACAGCGAGGAGGGCGCAGAAGCCAUCCGUACCCGGGCCACAGAGCUGCUGACCCUGCUGAAGAUGCCCAGCGUGGCCCAGUUUGUGCUCACACCCAGCACGGAGGUGUGCAGCCCCCGCUAUCACCGCGAUGCCAACACGGCCCUGCCCCUGGCCCUGCGCACGGUCAGCCGGCUGGUGGAGAGGGAGGCCGGCUUCAUGCCAGGGUGAAGGGACAGUGGCCAGGGACUUCGGUGCAGAUUAAGAGCCUGGGGCGGCCAGCUUGCUACUGAGGCCAGGCUGAUAGGAGCUCAGGAGGCAAGGCCCACGGUGGGCUUGGCACCCUCAGAGACACGCGGGGCUGGCCCCCCUGCUCACCCUCUGGGCUUUGUCUCCGAGCCUUUUGCUCCCAGGCAACACUGAGCUGAGCUGAGGGGAACCAUGGAGCAGCUCUGAUUGGAGGCUUGAGGCCCUGUGGCUGGGUGGAGGCUGCUGGGUCUGUUUCCUAGUCUUUUGUUUUUGGACAGUUGAUGGGCAAGAAGAGCUGCAGUAAAAGUAAAUCUCCUUUAAUAA